rnacentral:rRNA from 1 species
GGGACUAAGGUUCUUGAUUCUUGUUGUUCUGAGAGAAUGGUCUUGUGGGGCCUUAGCUCAGCUGGGAGACCGCCUCCUUUUAAGCAGGAGGUCAUCGGUUCGAUCCCGCUAGGCUCCCUUUGUGAGAGAUCACCAAGUAAUGCACAUUGAAAAUUGAAUAUCUAUAUCAAAUAUUAACACAAAAUAAACCUAAGUUUUUCUAUGUUUAGCACAACCAAAUACGGUGGUGUGUUUGUUGUAAGGGCGCACGGUGGAUGCCUGGGCAUGUACAGCCAAUAAAGGACGAUGUAAUUUUACUUUAAUCCUCAGCUAUUUUAAUAAUAAGCGUUGAUCCUUUGAUCUCAUUAUCUACCUCAUUAGUCUAGAUUGUCAGUGUUGUUCAGCGUUUUAUUAAAUUUACUUUAUAUGCGGCAAUAGUACUUGAUCCGCACUUUUCCGCUUCUCCUACACGUCGUCGAAUCACUAUUUUUUCUUUGAAUCUAUCUAUAUAUAGUUCCCAUCACCCGUCU